rnacentral:rRNA from 1 species
GUUUGAUCCUGGCUCAGGACGAACGCUGGCGGCGUGCUUAACACAUGCAAGUCGAACGGAAAGGCCCUGCUUUUGUGGGGUGCUCGAGUGGCGAACGGGUGAGUAACACGUGAGUAACCUGCCCUUGACUUUGGGAUAACUUCAGGAAACUGGGGCUAAUACCGGAUAGGAGCUCCUGCUGCAUGGUGGGGGUUGGAAAGUUUCGGCGGUUGGGGAUGGACUCGCGGCUUAUCAGCUUGUUGGUGGGGUAGUGGCUUACCAAGGCUUUGACGGGUAGCCGGCCUGAGAGGGUGACCGGCCACAUUGGGACUGAGAUACGGCCCAGACUCCUACGGGAGGCAGCAGUGGGGAAUAUUGCACAAUGGGCGGAAGCCUGAUGCAGCAACGCCGCGUGCGGGAUGACGGCCUUCGGGUUGUAAACCGCUUUCGCCUGUGACGAAGCGUGAGUGACGGUAAUGGGUAAA